rnacentral:rRNA from 1 species
GGUAUUGAAAUAAGAUUUUAAAUGAGUGCUAAGAGAAUGAUUAAACAAUUAAAAGCUUUCUUUAAUUAAAAAAUUAAAUUUAAUUUUUUAGUGCAAAAGCAAAAAUAAAAUUUAGGGACAAGAAGACCCUAUGAAUUUUUAUUGUUAAUAAUUAAAAUUUAAGUUAUUAAUAAUUUAAUUGGGGCGAUAAAAAAAGAAUAAGUAUCUUUUUAGUUAUAAAAUAAGUUCCGUUUUUAGCGAUUAAAUGAAAUAAAUACUCUAGGGAUAACAGCGUAAUAAUUUUGGAUAGUUCAUAUAGAUAAAAUAGUUUGCGACCUCGAUGUUGGAUUAGGAUUCUUUUUUGGUGAAGAA